rnacentral:rRNA from 1 species
UACAGAGGUGGCAAGCGUUGUUCGGAAUUACUGGGCGUAAAGGGCGCGUAGGCGGUUCGUUAAGUCCUGUGUGAAAUCCCCCGGCUCAACUGGGGAACUGCACAGGAAACUAGCGGGCUUGAGUUCGGGAGAGGGAAGCGGAAUUCCGGGUGUAGCGGUGAAGUGCGUAGAUAUCCGGAGGAACACCAGUGGCGAAGGCGGCUAACUGGUCCAGAUCUGACGCUGAGGUGCGAAAGCGUGGGGAGCAAACAGG